UCGAGAAUUUUUCACAAUGGGCGCAAGCCUGAUGGAGCGACGCCGCGUGGGGGAUGAAGGGUUUCGAUCCGUAAACCCCUGUCAUUUGCGAACAAAGGCUAUUCAAUAACACUGGGUAGCUUGAUAGUAGCGGAAGAGGAAGGGACGGCUAACUCUGUGCCAGCAGCCGCGGUAAUACAGAGGUCCCAAGCGUUGUUCGGAUUCACUGGGCGUAAAGGGUGCGUAGGUGGCUGGGAAAGUUUGAUGUGAAAGCUCGGAGCUUAACUCCGAAAUGGCAUUGAAUACUUCCCAGCUUGAGGGUCGGAGGGGAGACUGGAAUUCUCGGUGUAGCAGUGAAAUGCGUAGAUAUCGAGAGGAACACCAGUGGCGAAGGCGAGUCUCUGGACGACUCCUGACACUGAGGCACGAAAGCUAGGGGAGCAAACAGGAUUAGAUACCCCCGUAGUCC
rnacentral:rRNA from 1 species